rnacentral:lncRNA from 1 species
AGAAAAAAGGAAAGCGAGUCACAGGCCACUCAACGCCUACUCCAUGGGUCUGAUUUGCUGAGACACCAACUUCACCCUCCUAACAAGGUGCAGCUCAAAAGAAGAUGAAGGCUACCAGAAGACAUGAACAAAGGGUAAGUGGCAUUAAACCUCUGAAGAACCUUUAUGUGUAUAUUGACCCCCAUACAGAAGGCAGACCAGACUGUGAUACUGCUGGAGAUAGAGGGAUCUUCUACAGCAUGUAUAAAAUUGUAACGUGGGUGGAGGAUGUUGAGAAGUGGCAAUUGUUUGAAAUUAAUAAACUGUGCUUGAAACUUGCCUUCAUCCUGUCUUUUGUUAUGCCUACAUAACCUACUGCAAAGCUUUGAAAUGUAUGAACAGUUUUCAAAUGCACUAGAAAUUAAGUGCAGUUUUGUGAAUGGAGUUGUCUCCUUAGAUAUCAGGGGCAUUAGAGAAUCUCUGGGAAAAAUCUUCCUGAACAUGUAAAAUGGAGCUUUUGUUAAGUUGCCUCUCCCUAAGUUUUGGAAGCUCCCUCAGCACCAAAGAUUUAAUGUGAAUUCACUUUUUAUUUUCACUGUGCCUUUUUUUUAUAUUUUAUAGCAAGGUAUUAACCUGCACUGAGUCAGGAGAUGAAAGAAUUGCAUUGUAUUGCAGUGAAGGGAAGUCAUAUAUACUAACAGAUUAAUCCUUAUAUGGGAAAAAAUGGAUGGGGAGGAGCAGCAUGGUGAAGUGGGAGGAAAUGUGUGUUUUCACUUAUUAACUUGUAAAUUAUUUUUAUAAUAUUGUAUAUUUGUGUGGGGGUACAGAAGUGAGACUACCACAUCUGUUCUACAAUUCUGUGUCUUAGUUUUGUUAAUCUAAGUAUGUAGAUAAAACUUAAUUUUAACUUGUGACAAUACUUACUCUAAAUGUAAAACCUUGGCCUUCCUUCCAUUGUACUUCUAUUGAAUUCUUCACUGUCUUAAUUAUUUCCUCAUAAACGCUGAUUUUGAUGAUUGUAGCACAGAUAUUUCUAUAAAGUAGGUAUGAGGUAAUUACUUAUAAAAUAAUGAACACAUGAAUGCUUCCAAAGAUUUGGCAUUUGGCUUAAGCUACUGAGAAAUAAUUUAAAGCUUCUUAUGGGCAGGUAUAAAAGAAUAGGCUAUAUCUUAUAGAGUAGCUGUUGAUGGUUCAGUCUCAGAAGUGACUUUUUAAGUGAGAGUGCAUCAAAAGAAA